CUGGAGUCUCCUUAAUUCUAGAUCUUAGAAUUCCACAUGAGUUCCAAGGAGAAAUCCUGGGCCUAGAGUGAUAGGGCAUCCUCUAAGCUAAGAACUGACUAGCUGAUACUUUAAGAACAUCAUGUCCUGAGUCUGUAACAAAAGGAUGGGCUUUUCACUGCUAAAACAGAUCUCAGAACUGACCAGGUUUCCAAACCACAAGAAAGGUCUAAUUAAGCCAGUGUCAGCAUUGUUCACUAACUCUACUUCAGUGCGACCUUCACAUAAAUGAAAUGCUAUCAAAUGCUGUGAAUUCCAUGGAAAUAAUAAGUUGAGCAUACAGGUAGUACCUCCAUCUGAUGUCUUUAAAAAAAGGAAAAAAAAAACUACAUUGACUUUCCAAAUAAUGAAGAGAAAAACGAAAAACUGCUAGAGCAAUAUGCAAAUUAUAAAGUUUCUAGGACAAUAAAACAAAUAUAUGAUAAAUACUUUUUGGAACAUAAUAGGUAUAACCUGUUUAAAUGAGCAACUAAUGUGGAAUAAAUAUGAAAGCCCUUCUGUCUUAACACUUCAAGAAGAGAUUGGAUUUUUCAGAAAUUGAAGAAAGUCAAAAGAACCAGAAAAAUAGAAAUGAAAUAAUACCAUUAUGCUCACUAAUGAAUUCUCAAUUUUUGUUAAUAUCAUCACUGAAGAAUGUGUCCAAUUUUAUGUCCUGUAUAAAAUAAACAUAUUAAUAUUUGCUAA